CGACGCAUGCGCCCGCCGCC
rnacentral:snRNA from 1 species